UAGGUCAGUCUCAACUACAUAGUGAGACCCUGUCUCAAAAAACUAAAAAGAAAAAAAAAAAAAAUGAAGGACAUAGGGAUGUAGCUCAGUGUGAAAGCCCUGGGUUCAAUCCCCAGCACCAGAAAAACAACCUGGGAAGUCAGGAAGCUUCUGGGAGGGGUCCUGUAGUGACAGAGAGGAGUUGGCCAGUGGGGGUGGGAGGGGCCUGGGCCUCAAGCUACAGUCUCCAUCUGAGAUGAAAGAGGAGGUGGAAGUGUUCAGCAGGGCCCAGGGCUUGUCGUCCUGCUUGGAAUAUGGGGGUGACCUAGAGGCAAGGAGCAGCUCUCUCCAGCAGUGGCCGAGGCAGAUGGCAGUGGGCAGCAUGUGGGUCAUAGGCAGGGCCAUGGGGGCUGGUGGCAGCCCCAGGGGGUGGCGCAUGUAGACAGGUGGGAGCUGCUCAGGUGCAGGCCUGGGAGGGGCAGUAAAAGGGCUGCGCUGGCUCUGCCCCACACCCAUCAUCCUCCACCACCCCCGCAGGGUGAGAACAUCACCAAUGCCCCCGAGCUGCAGCCCAAUGCCGUCACAUGGGGCAUCUUCCCGGGGCGAGAGAUCAUCCAGCCCACAGUGGUGGACCCCGUCAGCUUCAUGUUCUGGAAGGACGAGGCCUUUGCCCUGUGGAUCGAGCAGUGGGGCAAACUGUAUGACGAGGAGUCCCCAUCCCGCAUGAUCAUCCAGUACAUCCAUGACAACUACUUCCUGGUCAACCUGGUGGACAACGAGUUCCCGCAGGACAGCUGCCUGUGGCAGGUGGUGGAAGAUGCAUUCGAGCUGCUCAACAGGCCCGCUGGGCUUGUGAGGGAGGUGGAGGCAUCAUGACCUGCAUCCGCCCCUCCCGGUCCUGACUCUCCCUUGUGCCCAAGCCCGCUGCCCACGUGAGGGCACUGCCCAUGCUGCACUGGUGUGAGGCUGCCAGGCUCUGGCCGGACUGGAGUGGGCCCCCGUGGGAGCCUGGUGCUCCUGUGCAAGGCAGGAUCUCAUGCUCUGUCGGUGCUGCAGGGGACCACAGUAGAUGGCACAUCUCCA
rnacentral:lncRNA from 1 species